UACGUAGGGUGUGAGCGUUGUCCGGAAUUAUUGGGCGUAAAGAGCUCGUAGGCGGUCUGUCGCGUCGGUCGUGAAAACUUGGGGCUUAACCCUGAGCUUGCGGUCGAUACGGGCAUGACUGGAGUUCGGCAGGGGAGACUGGAAUUCCUGGUGUAGCGGUGAAGUGCGCAGAUAUCAGGAGGAACACCGGUGGCGAAGGCGGUUCUCUGGGCAUGAUCUGACGCUGAGGAGCGAAAGUGUGGGGAGCGAACAGG
rnacentral:rRNA from 1 species